rnacentral:rRNA from 1 species
AUUGAACGCUGGCGGCAGGCCUAACACAUGCAAGUCGAGCGGAUGAAGGGAGCUUGCUCCUGGAUUCAGCGGCGGACGGGUGAGUAAUGCCUAGGAAUCUGCCUGGUAGUGGGGGAUAACGUCCGGAAACGGGCGCUAAUACCGCAUACGUCCUGAGGGUGAAAGUGGGGGAUCUUCGGACCUCACGCUAUCAGAUGAGCCUAGGUCGGAUUAGCUAGUUGGUGGGGUAAAGGCCUACCAAGGCGACGAUCCGUAACUGGUCUGAGAGGAUGAUCAGUCACACUGGAACUGAGACACGGUCCAGACUCCUACGGGAGGCAGCAGUGGGGAAUAUUGGACAAUGGGCGAAAGCCUGAUCCAGCCAUGCCGCGGGUGUGAAGAAGGUCUUCGGAUUGUAAAGCACUUUAAGUUGGGAGGAAGGGCAGUAAGUUAAGACCUUGCUGUUUUGACGUUACCAACAGAAUAAGCACCGGCUAACUGCGU